GAGAGCAUGGUGUCAACGGUAGCACAUCGGUCUCCAAAACCGCUAGUCAGGGUUCGAAUCCUUGUGCUCUCGCCA
rnacentral:tRNA from 1 species